GGGGGCGAAACGGUUUCGACUGGUUAGGUUGAACCUGGGUUGCAUGCCGAGGAUGAUCGUUGGCCUCGUUAAUCAUCGGUCACGCAUAUAACUGCGAACAACGAAUACGCUCUCGCCG
rnacentral:tmRNA from 1 species